AGGUGCUACAGGUGGUCCAGGUCACUGGGCCAUGACAGUGUUGAUGGUUGAACGUCAGGAGCCAAUGAUGUUGAUAGUUGGGGAUCCUGGAUAGUUGAAAGAUUUUUUGCUGAAAACUUUUGGAAGAACAUUGUAAUCAGAAGUUGUCCCUAACUCUUCAAAGCUUUGCUGCAGACGUUCUAAUCCUUUGACCAAGGUUUGCUGCAGGUAACUGAAACCAUGGAGAGCAAAACUGUCCAUAGGGGUAAUCCAUUGCAUUUUCAGAAACAUUCCUAGGUGGUUGAGGAGGGUGACUUACGACUUCCUCUCAAAGAUAUCUAAACCAAGACGUCUUCAACUUUAGCCUGCAUAUGCAUCACCUGGAAAUCGAGGUGUAGGGUGGGCCCUGAGUUUGCCUUUCUAAGGAGAGAUGCUAACAAGAUCUGGACCAUCAGCCACUCAAGACCUUUAACAUGUUUCAUACCUGUCGACACCCUGAUACACCUUGGCCUCUGAAAUACUUUACAAGCUUUGCUAAAGAACACGUUCAUAAUGUACCAGUUCUUUAGCACUGAUUCCCUUAGGGAAAUCUGUUCUUCAAGGCAAGUUUCCCAUUGCAGUUCUCUAUCAACCUGGCGGGGGAAGUUACUGCCAAUCAUUGACCAAGCAGCACAGAUUGGGAGAACUCCGUACCUUGGCUCUAUAAGCAACAUCACUGUUCAGAGUGGUCAUCCGAAGCAUGCAGACUGGAGAUACUAUGAACUCUGAUCACAUAAAUGAAGGAUUCACUGUACUUUUUAUUCCCUGUCCUUCAAGAGCCAGGUGAAUGCCACGUCCUCUUCAGAGCCUUCCUGGAUGUCACAGCCGACCAUUGCUGGGGCUCAGAAAAAGCUACCUGAACAUAUGGCGCUCUGGCCUGCAGAGUACUUUGAACUGGAGGAGAUUGGAAGGCUUCAGCAAUGGCCUCAGCACUAAGAUCUCUCUGACCUUCUCUUGCCCUUGUGUCUCGCUCCUCUUUCUCCCCUAAGCACAGGGAGGGGCUGUCCCUGAACUUUCCUUGUCUCCUUAAAGAUAGAUCUAAAAAGGAACUCAGUUUCUCCUCCAGAGACAAGAUUCACUGUAUCAUAGGAGAAGAGACUGGGGGUCCGGGCCACUCACAGACAUCGCCAUAGGCUAUCGCCUGUUCGUCUUCCCCAAAAAGCACUUAUUCUCCCCUAAGCAGCCUACAUGCCCGAUCCCCUCUUCUUUAUGAAGAAGUAGAUAAGCUUGUCAAUUUCACUGGGUUUUGGGUACUCACUUUUGUUUCUCGUGCUGCUCCCAUCCGUGUAAUAAAUGUGCAUGUUUUUUUCUCCUGUUCAUCUGCCUACUGUCCUGGAGUCAAUUAUGAAAACUCAGAGAGUAGAGAGAAAGUGUUUUCUGUCCCUAUAGGAGGCAGCCGUUGCUCUCAUGGCACUCAUCACUGUCUGCCUGGCGUCAUGCGUAAGUACCCGGUUGCCCCUAAAAGAUUGCAAGCUCUGUGGGAGCGGAAACUGUGUCUCAUUCAUCUCCUGCAGGCACUCAGGAAGGAGGAAGAAAUGGAUGAAGCCUCUUAUGUCCUAAGGCCUGCUAAGGUGCUUAUGUAAUCAAAUUU
rnacentral:lncRNA from 1 species